rnacentral:rRNA from 1 species
UACGUAGGGGGCAAGCGUUGUCCGGAAUUAUUGGGCGUAAAGCGCGUGUAGGCGGCUCGGUAAGUCUGCUGUGAAAGUCCAAGGCUCAACCUUGGAAAGCCGGUGGAUACUGUCGAGCUCGAGUCCGGAAGAGGCGAGUGGAAUUCCUGGUGUAGCGGUGAAAUGCGCAGAUAUCAGGAAGAACACCCGUGGCGAAGGCGGUUCUCUGGGACGGUACUGACGCUGAGACGCGAAAGCGUGGGGAGCGAACAGG